CUUAAAAUCUAUUGGGAGUAAACGCCUAAUCGAGUUGUAGCUUAUGGAGGCAGUUAUCGACUCUACGACAUAGUAAAAGUCCUUUUGAAUAAGGCAUCAAAGAGGGUGAAAGUCCCGUAUUUGACUAUGUUAACAAGUAGGGAAAUGUGAACUGUUUUCUUUGAGUCGGGUUGUUUGGGAAUGCAGCCCUAAUUAGGAGGUAAAUUUCUUCUAAAGCUAAAUAUAAGCAAGAGACCGAUAGCAAACAAGUACCGUGAGGGAAAGAUGAAAAGCACUUUGAAAAGAGAGUGAAAAGUACGUGAAAUUGUUGAAAGGGAACCAGUUGGUAGCCAAGCUUCAUGUUCUGGGUAUUUAUAUCCGGAUUGUGAGGUCAACAUCGGUUGUCAGUUCUGCUUGAGAGGAAAUUUUGCAGGUUAGCGGGGUAAGGUAGGGCAAGUGGUUUGUUUAGUUUCGGCUAAGCAAAUUAAGCCACUUGCUUGUUAUAGACCCCAUGAACAUGUUUUUAAGCCUAGAAGUGGAGACGACCGAGGAACGCAGUGUUUGUUACCGCAAGGUAACAAGUGGGUAAAUGUAGGAGGAUAUUCGUUUUUUUAUGUUUUGUAGACAGCUUGCUGACUAUGAUUAUAAGGAGAUAUAUUUAGUUUUACAUUUGCACCAAAAAACACUUGGGAUGUUGGCGAAAAGGCACCAAUUGACCCGUCUUGAAACACGGACCAAGGAGUCCAACAUAUAUGCGAGUAUUUGGGAAUAUAUAAACCCAUGUGCGUAAUGAAAGUGAAACUUUUAUUUGAAUGUGACCAGAGGUUAUUUCGGUAGUCUUUGGGCAACAUCAACCGACUUUAGAUAGCGUUGCUUGACAAGGUUGAGUAAGAGCAUAUAUGCUGGGACCCGAAAGAUGGUGAACUAUGCCUGAAUAGGGUGAAGUCAGAGGAAACUCUGAUGGAAGCUCGUAGAGAUUCUGACGUGCAAAUCGAUCUCCAAAUUUGGGUAUAGGGGCGAAAGACUAAUCGAACCAUCUAGUAGCUGGUUCCUGCCGAAGUUUCCCUCAGGAUAGCAGAGACUGAAUAAAGCAGUUUUAUGAGGUAAAGCGAAUGAUUAGAGGCCUUAGGGAUGUAACAUCCUUAACCUAUUCUCAAACUUUAAAUGCGUAAGAAGUUUUAGUUUCUUAAUUGAACUAGAACAAAUAUUACGAAUGCAUCAGUCUCUAGUGGGCCAUUUUUGGUAAGCAGAACUGGCGAUGCGGGAUGAACCGAACGUAAAGUUAAGGUGCCCAAAUGCACGCUCAUAUAGACACCAUAAAAGGUGUUAGUUCAUCUAGACAGCAGGGCGGUGGCCAUGGAAGUCGGAAUCCGCUAAGGAGUGUGUAACAACUCACCUGCCGAAUGAACUAGCCCUGAAAAUGGAUGGCGCUUAAGCGUGCUACCGAUACUUUACCGCCAAAAUUGAAUUAAAACGUUUUGGUGAGUAGGCAGGCGUGGGGGUUUUGAGUAGCGAAGCUGUGGGAGUGAUCUCCAGUGGAACAACC
rnacentral:rRNA from 1 species